GACGAACGCUGGCGGCGUGCCUAAUACAUGCAAGUCGAACGAGUGGCGGACGGGUGAGUAAUGUCUGGGAAACUGCCUGAUGGAGGGGGAUAACUCCUGGAAACGGUAGCUGAUACCGCAUACCAUCAGAUGUGCCCAGAUGGGAUUAGCUUGUUGGUGGGGUAACGGCUCACCAAGGCGACGAUCCCUAGCUGGUCUGAGAGGAUGACCAGCCACACUGGAACUGAGACACGGUCCAGACUCCUACGGGAGGCAGCAGGGGGGAAUAUUGCACAAUGGGCGAAAGCCUGAUGCAGCCAUGCCGCGGGUAUGAAGAAGGCCUUCGGGUUGUAAAGUACUUUCAGUGGGGAGGCGUUACCCGCAGAAGAAGCACCGGCUAACUCCGUGCCAGCCGCCGCGGUAAUAC
rnacentral:rRNA from 1 species